AAUCAUCGUUUUCGAUCGUUUGUGUGCAAUAUUCGUCACAAGAAAAUUGAAGUAAAAUUCGUUUGCAUUCGUAGCGAUCCAAGAACCUUGAAAAAUCGAACUCGCGAUGAUCAGUGUUAACGGUCCCUUCGGGUUGAGAGACUCGAUGAUCGAGCAAGGUGCAAGCACAGACGUCGACCCUCUCGUUCAGGCUGUCGACGAUCGCGAGACUGCCGUACUGCCGUGUGUGUUUGCCAUGUUUACGAGUAGGACGAACGUGAACGCAUGUGAACGCAUGUGAACGCAUGCGGUCCCGAGAGUCGCGCAGCCUUUAGACUGGUUGGAAUUGCUCGUUUCGUCGAACGUAAGCUGUAAGGUUCUAACGAGUAAUUAAAAACGACUCUAGGAUUAACGAAACUAUCGGUAGAAUAAAUCUCGAGGUAAAAUGAAAUAUGUGUAAAAAAAAUCUGUAUAUAUAUAUAUAUACAUGCACGCGUAUGUGUAUGCAUAUGUAUGCGAUUGGCAGACACCGACGAGGCUCAACUACGCAAUACGUGUAAGAUGGCGGCGAGAGGAAGAGACUCGUGAACGCGUCAAGCGAAAAUCCCCUUAUGCAAGGUCAAUUCAGUAUUACAGCGUCUAGACUAUAUACAAUUGUAAAGUUUUGUUUACACGCUCCCGACGGGACCCACUGGGAACUCGUUCGUGGAUACGUGAACUACGCCUGCGUCGGUAUUCCAGUUGAGAUUCACGAUUUUCUCGACUGAAAGGCAAAUUAUUUUCAAACCAAAGAUAAACAUCGUUUGUUUCGAUGAAAACGUCUGUUACGACACCGCACACUAACAUACUGUAAAAUUACAAACGCGUCCCACUGAUUUUCAAGUAUCUUAAAAUCCAUAUCAACACAAAUUAAUGGCAACGAGUACCCGGCAGCUGGCCUUAGGAGCGUCAGAGCGACGCUAGUACGUCGUUCCUCCGCCGGCGGCGCUAGGUGCCUUCCUCGUAAGUCCCAAGUUCCAAGACCUGAGAACGAAUUCCGUCGUGGAGUUUGUCGACGCGAAUACCGACGGCGAGCGUGAACCUCGUUUCUAGCGACACAAGUGCCAGAUUCGUUCGUAGACGCUUUUCGGUUUUGCGUAGUUUGGCGUGAUUCGAGGAAGAUGAGCACGCAAGUCGACGACUUUGUUUGAUCGAAUCAUCUGAAAACAGGGUUGUACCCUUAACCCUCCGCGACCCAACGGUCCCCCUUGAUUCUUCGUUCCACGGUCCUGUAGCCACCAACGUCUAGUUUCCAGAUAUCAGUCGUGAUUCGGUUCGCAGCUUGUCUCGUUAGUGGGCCCCUUGAUUUUUCGUCAACUCGAGCGACUUGGGUCACGGAGGGCUAAGCGAACUGAACAUAUCAGAAUCUACGUAUUUUUCAUCAGAACAGAAUAUUUUUAAUAUUCACCGAACGACGCGCGCAGACUUAGCGAAAAAAAAAAGAACAAAAUAAAAGUGAGAAAAAUGAAAAAAAAAAAAUAAAUAAAGUGAAACAAAUAAAACGAAAACACACUUCCUGUUUGCUCAGCGGUUGUUGUCUCUUGGGAGUAUUCACCGAAACGCGAUUGCGAGAUAAAAUUGUUGUUCAGUGUGCGAAUGCUUGAACUAAUUAUCGUCAUUGUUAAACGCUUAACCGGCCGUGUCAUUCGUUUUUUGCGUCUGAAGGAUAUUUCUCAAUGUUUCUCAAUGAAUUCAACGUUCGAUUGUCUCUUUCGAUGAAACUUAGUGAAAUUGUAAUCGAUAAUCUGCGCGAGGCAUCUGUAUAAAAACGAAAACGGAAAAAAAAAUUAAUAAUUAUAUUUCCUGACAAUUUAACCAGCACUCUGUGAGUAAUCGAACAUGUUUGCAGGUAAAUGAGUACAUUUGUAAAUAGACGAAGAAGAAAAAAAGUAUAUAUACAUAUAUAUAUAUAUAAUUUGUGUUCCGUUGAUGCGACGUGGUAUUAAGCGAGUUGUAAUCGUUUAUUAGAAGUAAAACAUUUUUUCUGAAGGGGAAUGUUUUUCCAUUUACUGUUGAUGUCUGAGAGGAAUAAAACGGAAUUUCAAACUAUUCCAUUCGUCGAUAUCUAAGCACUGGUGAACUAUUUCGUGGUAAAAUUUCUUCCUACGCCAACGUGGAAAGUGCACAUAUUCCUAGAAACUCUACGCUAUGAUACUUGUCCAAAAACUGGCAACAUGUGCCAUUAACCUGAAGAAGCGAAUACAGCACUGUAAAUCCAAAGAAUUCUAUUUAUUCGAUAAGAAUUCCCUCGCAGUCACGUCCCUCCUUAAACUCGAAACGAAAUCCCUGCGCAACAUCCUAAUCGUACGCCAGAGUAUCGUUUUUUUAAAGAAACGAAGCUUAAAUGGCUCUGUGACGAUAUUAUAAGUUCGGUAAAAAAUAAAUAACGGUCGAUGACGUUGCAAUUCGUUUAGAAGUUUGCGGUCGGUUGAGCGUGGAGGUGUAUCAACGUUGUAACAGAGCGAAAGAGCGUCGAGAACAAUCAGAACAAUCAUGUUAGACGACACUGGCAGUGAGUGAUCGCGUAGAAGACACGGCAUAAAGGUGAAAACAUAGCUAACAGAAAUUAAUAUAAAGCAACACACGCUCGCUACUGACAAGGGCCAUCGCUCAGCCGUGGCACGCUGAUUUUUUCACGAGACUUAUCACGCGUGCACUUGGUGCUUCGUUUGAAACGGAACGGUCGAAUAUUUCAUGAAGAGAAGGAGCUAUCGUUAAAAUGUUUUUACACAAGCUUUUCCAGGCAACCCGCCAGGUGGACUGUAGCGUCGGUUAUCAGCUGUCAGACGCGAGAACGGUGCCCCUGACAGUAGGCAACCGGUGCUGCAUAUGGAAUAACUGGUUGCCGUCUGUUGGGCGCGAGAAGUGUGCCCCUGACAGUAGGCAACCAGUGCUGCAGAUGGAAUAACUGGUUGCCGUCUCUCAAGCCGGCGACUGACUUGCAACAGAACAUUGUAAUGUAACGCGAGCAUUCGCUUAGUUUGGACGGACCAGCGAGCGACGAACCGAGCCAUUCUUGCGCUCGGUUCGCACUCGACCGUGCUCCACUGGUCUGUCGGCUUUUGACGAACCUCUUUGAUCGUCUACUUUUCACCGAACCGAGUAGGAAGCAUCGAGAGAAAAUUCAGCCGAGAGUUCGAAGCGAGCAUUCGUGAUUCCAAAAAGGACCUUGUAAUGUAACGUUGGUGUCGAACCGUAAAAAUCGUGCCGGAGCAGUAACAUUCCAGCGUACUGUUGCAAGUCAGUCGGCGGCUUUAGGCGCGAGACGGGUGCCCCUGACAGUAGGCAAUCGGUGUUACAGACCGAAUAACGGGUUGCCGUCUCUUAGGCGCAGGGUGACGCCCCCGAUUACAGGCAACCGCUGCUACAUAUCGACUGACGGGUCGCCUUAACGAAUUUGUCUAAAAACAUGUUACCGAUAGCUUCUCUCCCACAAAAUAUUAAAUUAGGCACCCUCUAGAGCGUUAAAAAAUAUUUAAUAUUCAAUAGUUCGAUAUUUUCGAAUGGUCCAUCAGCAUGGAAAGCGUCAUAGUAAUCAGCGCGUCACCGGUGAGCGGCAUUAUUAGAACGCUGCACGGAUUCUUGAUAGCUUCUUUUUGAUACGACAUGUAGCAUUAAUUUCUCGAAGCCCGUACAGUGGGAACACUGCUCGUGUGAUUGUCACGUGGGUGAAUUGAGGUUAGGUGCGGGCAUUUUUAUCGUCGCCAGCUUCGAAGAUAUAUUUUUAGACGAGAUAUCUGUACAUACACGAAUACACACACACACACACACACACACACACACACACACAAAGAGACACUGAGAGCAUUCUGCGUUAAUACUUCGGCCUGUGCCCUUUUUUUCGAGACGGAACUCGGCUGUCUUUUUCAUGCUUCUUGAAUAAAUGUGCGAUGCUUGUUCCAUCAAAA